UACGGGGGGGGCAAGCGUUGUUCGGAAUUACUGGGCGUAAAGGGCUCGUAGGUGGCCAACUAAGUCAUACGUGAAAUCCCUCGGCUUAACCGGGGAACUGCGUCUGAUACUGGAUGGCUUGAGUUUGGGAGAGGGAUGCGGAAUUCCAGGUGUAGCGGUGAAAUGCGUAGAUAUCUGGAGGAACACCGGUGGCGAAGGCGGCAUCCUGGACCGAGAUUGACGCUGAGGCGCGAAAGCCAGGGGAGCAAACGGG
rnacentral:rRNA from 1 species